UACGGAGGGGGCAAGCGUUGUUCGGAAUUACUGGGCGUAAAGGGCGCGUAGGCGGUCUGUUGCGUCAGAUGUGAAAGCCCCGGGCUCAACCUGGGAGGUGCAUUUGAUACGGGCAGGCUUGAGGAUAGGAGAGGGUGUUGGAAUUCCCAGUGUAGAGGUGAAAUUCGUCGAUAUUGGGAAGAACACCAGUGGCGAAGGCGGCCACCUGGCCUAUACCUGACGCUGAGGCGCGAUAUCGUGGGGAUCAAA
rnacentral:rRNA from 1 species